CCUACGGGAGGCAGCAGUGAGGAAUAUUGGUCAAUGGACGGAAGUCUGAACCAGCCAUGCCGCGUGCAGGAAGACGGCUCUAUGAGUUGUAAACUGCUUUUGUACAAGGGUAAACCUGAAUACGUGUAUUCUGCUGAAAGUACUGUACGAAUAAGGAUCGGCUAACUCCGUGCCAGCAGCCGCGGUAAUACGGAGGAUCCAAGCGUUAUCCGGAUUUAUUGGGUUUAAAGGGUGCGUAGGCGGAUUGAUAAGUUAGAGGUGAAAUGUCCGAGCUUAACUCGGGAACUGCCUCUAAUACUGUUGAUCUAGAGAGUAGAUGCGGUAGGCGGAAUGUAUGGUGUAGCGGUGAAAUGCUUAGAGAUCAUACAGAACACCGAUUGCGAAGGCAGCUUACCAAUCUAUAUCUGACGUUGAGGCACGAAAGCGUGGGGAGCAAACAGGAUUAGAUACCCCAGUAGUC
rnacentral:rRNA from 1 species